AGAUGCGAUCAUACCAACAAUACACUGAUUCCAUAAGCAAUUAAGCUCAUAUGGGUUAGAGUAAUAAUAGAAUGGAUUGCCUCCUGAGAAGUUCUGAUGAGUCGUGUUAC
rnacentral:rRNA from 1 species